CCAAAUUUUCUCCCUCUCUUCUUCUCCAUUUUCUUUCUUCCCUUAUGCUUCUUCUGUUAGUCGAAACCUUCUGAUCACCCUACUUACCUUCUCUGCCGAUCCCAUCCUCUACAAAACCUCGAUAGUCGAUUGCCAUAAAAGUCGAAUCCUGAAACUCACUACUGGUGCCAAUUUCUCUAAAGCCAAAAUCCUUCGAUAUUUUUGUUCCUCUUGACAAACAUUCAUCUUCUCUAAACCCUUGGUAUUGCUCAGCAGCAUUAUUC
rnacentral:lncRNA from 1 species